rnacentral:tRNA from 1 species
GGAGGGUUAGUUUAGGUUUAGAAUGUUGUUUUUGUAAAACAGAGGGGUUUGUUGACAUCUUCUA